UACGAAGGGGCUAGCGUUGCUCGGAAUUACUGGGCGUAAAGCGCGUGUAGGCGGCCCUGCAAGUCGGGUGUGAAAUCCCAACGGCGUCAACCGUGGAAGUGCACUCGAAACUGCAGGGCUAGAGUACCGGAGAGGGGUGGCGGAAGUUCCCCAAGUAGAGGUGAAAUUCGUAGAUAUGGGGAGGAACACCGGUGGGCGAAGGCGGUUCUCUGGGCCGUUACCUGACGCUGGAGGAGCGAAAGCGUGGGGAGCGAACAGG
rnacentral:rRNA from 1 species